rnacentral:lncRNA from 1 species
GGGCACCGAUGUCUAAGUUCCUGUAUUUUCACCAAAUUCGAGGGUUUUAGACGUCGGCUGUGAGGGGCACCGACGUGAACUACUCUGACAGGAAACCAAAACGUCAAUCUUUUCAGCUUCAUAGACGUCGGAUCCCCUGAAACACCGACGCCCCAUUUCAUUUUAAAUAGACCGCAGACUCUUCACACCAUUCAAUUUCUGAUCUCGUCUUCAUCUCUUCUAAUUUUUCUCUGCUUCUC